GACGAACCGAGCGAACGUUGUUCGGAAUCACUGGGCUUAAAGGGCGCGUAGGCGGGUGCUCAAGUCUGUGGUGAAAUCCUCCGGCUCAACCGGAGAACUGCCAUGGAUACUGGGUGCCUCGAGGGUGGUAGGGGUAUGCGGAACUAUCGGUGGAGCGGUGAAGUGCGUUGAUAUGCACAGGAACUCCGGUGGCGAAGGCGGCGAGCUGGACCCUUUCUGACGCUGAGGCGCGAAAGCCAGGGGAGCGAACGGG
rnacentral:rRNA from 1 species